AGUGAACGCUGGCGGCAGGCCUAACACAUGCAAGUCGAACGGAAGCACAGUAAGAGCUUGCUCUUACGGGUGGCGAGUGGCGGACGGGUGAGGAAUACAUCGGAAUCUACUUUUUCGUGGGGGAUAACGUAGGGAAACUUACGCUAAUACAGCAUACGACCUACGGGUGAAAGCAGGGGAUCUUCGGACCUUGCGCGAUUGAAUGAGCCGAUGUCGGAUUAGCUAGUUGGCGGGGUAAAGGCCCACCAAGGCGACGAUCCGUAGCUGGUCUGAGAGGAUGAUCGGCCACACUGGAACUGAGACACGGUCCAGACUCCUACGGGAGGCAGCAGUGGGGAAUAUUAGACAAUGGGCGCAAGCCUGAUCCAGCCAUACCGCGUGGGUGAAGAAGGCCUUCGGGUUGUAAAGCCCUUUUGUUGGGAAAGAAAAGCAGCAGGUUGAUACCCCGCUGUUCUGACGGUACCCAAAGAAUAAGCACCGGCUAACUUCGUG
rnacentral:rRNA from 1 species